rnacentral:rRNA from 1 species
UACGUAGGUGGCAAGCGUUGUCCGGAUUUACUGGGCGUAAAGAGCGCGCAGGCGGUCGUUCAAGUCGCGUGUGAAAGCCCCCCGGCUCAACUGGGGAGGGUCACGCGAUACUGAUCGACUCGAAGGCAGGAGAGGGUAGUGGAAUUCCCGGUGUAGUGGUGAAAUGCGUAGAUAUCGGGGAGGAACACCAGUGGCGAAGGCGACUACCUGGCCUGUUUCUUGACGCUGAGGCGCGAAAGCUAGGGGAGCAAACGGGG